rnacentral:rRNA from 1 species
GCCUUACACAUGCAAGUCGAACGGCAGCGCGGCCUUCGGCCUGGAGGCGAGUGGCGAGCGGGAGAGAAAUACAUCAGAGCGCGCCCUGUUGUGGGAGAUAACUACUCAAAAGAUUAGCUAAUACCGCAUACUACCAGAAGGAGAAAGCGGGAGACCCUAAGGCCUCGCGCAAGAAGAGCGCCCGAUGUCAGAUUACCUAGGUGGUGAGGUAAAGGCCUACCAAGGAGACGAUCAGUAUCUGGUCAGAGAAGACCAUCACCCACACUGGCACAGACACACGGCCCACACCCCUACGGGAGGCCGCAGUGGAGAAUUUUGGACAGUGGGAGCAACCCUGAUCCAGCAGCGCCGCGUGUGAGAAAAAGGCCUUCGGGGUGAACAGCACUUUUGCCCGGAAAGAAAUCGCGCUGGAUAAUACCUGGCGCGGAUGACGGCACCGGAAAAAUAAGCACCGGCUAACUACGUGCCAACACCCGCGAUAAUACAUAGGGUGCGAGCGAUACUCAAAAUUACUGCGCGUAAAGCGCGCGCACGCGGAUUUGUAACACAUGCGUGAAAUCCCCGGUGCUUAACCGGGGGAAUGGCGCGUGAAUUCGCAAGGCUAGGAGUGGGUCAGAGGAGGGUAGUAUUCCACGUGUAGCAGUGAAAUGUGUAGAGAUGUGGAGGAAUAAUGAUGAAGACGGCAGCCCCGUGGGACGAGAGUGACGCUCAUGCGCGGAAGCGUGAGGAGCAAACAGGAUUAGAUUCCGUGGUAGUCCACGCCAUAAACGAUGUCUAGUAGUUGUUGGGGAUUCAUUUCAUCAGUAAAGUAGCUAACGGGUGAAGUUGGCCGCCUGGGGAGUACGGUAGCAAGAUUAAUAAUCAAAGGAAUUGACGGGGACCCGCACAAGCGGUGGAUGAUGUGGAUUAAUUCGAUGCAAGGCGAACAUCCUUCCCUUUCCUCGUCACACCACUAUUGAAGCAGAGAUGCAUCAGGUGCCCGAAAGGGAAAGUGGACACAGGUGAUGCAUGUCUGUAGUCAGCUUGUGUCGUGAGAUGUUGGGUUAAGUCCCGCAACGAGCGCAUCCUUUGUCUUUAGUUGUUUCGCAAGGGCACUCUAGAGAGACUGCCGGUGACAAACCGGAGGAAGGUGGGGAUGACGUCAAGUCCUCAUGGCCCUUAUGGGUGGGGCUUCACACGUCAUACAAUGGUGGGUACAGAGGGUUGCCAACCCGCGAGGGGGAGCUAAUCCCAGAAAACCCAUCGUAGUCCGGAUCGUAGUCUGCAACUCGACUACGUGAAGUUGGAAUCGCUAGUAAUCGCGGAUCAGCAUGCCGCGGUGAAUACGUUCCCGGGUCUUGUACACACCGCCCGUCACACCAUGGGAGUGGGUUUUGCCAGAAGUAGGUAGCCUAACCAAAGGGAGGGC